rnacentral:rRNA from 1 species
CCCUUAGAUGUUCUGGGCCGCACGCGCGCUACACUGACUAGUUCAUCGAGAUCCUCCCUUCACAGAGAUGUGACUUGGGUAAUCUUUUAAAAGCUAGUCGUGCUGGGGAUAGAUUAUUGCAAUUAUUAAUCUUCAACGAGGAAUUCCUAGUAAACGCAAGUCAUCAACUUGCAUUGAUUACGUCCCUGCCCUUUGUACACACCGCCCGUCGCUACUACCGAUUGAAUGAUUUAGUGAGCUACAGGGACCGCUGCUGAACUCGGUUUACCGAGCUGAUGCGGUGGGAACUGUUACAAACUUGAUCAUUUAGAGGAAGUAAAAGUCGUAACA